CAAUGACUGUGAUCAACUGUAUGGCGUACACUCACUUUCCACCCACUAGCAUCGAACUCUCUGUCACUGACAUUGCAACUAAUCAAGAGGUGAUUAUAAAAUCAUAAUCAUAAUCAAUACUCAAUAGAAUUCUUAUUCUAAGACAAAGGCGACUAUAAAUUGUAUUCCCUUGAACAGUCUAGUGCGCCACAGUUGUUCAAACUGCUACGUUAUUUACCGAGCAUUUAAUACACGGUUCAUAACUGCGUCAAUUACAGUUAAAACGUUCGAAGUCGUGUGAGGUACAUUGAAGGUGAGGUGUUUAAUUAACUACAAUCAGUCACACACUCACACCUCAUAACCUGUCCACGUCAACAGUUCAGUAAAUGGUUCGAAGUCGUGUGAGUUUUUAUGUGAAUUCACUGACAUUGGACUAUAUUGCAAACUAAGGAUUUGUAAAGAAAGG